rnacentral:rRNA from 1 species
UACGAAGGGGGCUAGCGUUACUCGGAAUCACUGGGCGUAAAGCGCACGUAGGCGGACUGUUAAGUCAGAGGUGAAAUCCUGGAGCUCAACUCCAGAACUGCCUUUGAUACUGAAGAUCUUGAGUUCGGGAGAGGUGAGUGGAACUGCGAGUGUAGAGGUGAAAUUCGUAGAUAUUCGCAAGAACACCAGUGGCGAAGGCGGCUCACUGGCCCGAUACUGACGCUGAGGCACGAAAGCGUGGGGAGCAAACAGG